rnacentral:rRNA from 1 species
GACGUAGGGCGCGAGCGUUGUCCGGAUUUAGUUGGGCGUAAAGAGCUCGUUAGGCGGCUUGUCGCGUCGAACUCGUGAAAUCCCGCGGCUCAACUGCGGGUCUGCAGGUCGAUACGGGCAGGCGUAGAGUUCGGUAGGGGAGACUGGGAAUUCCUGGAUGUAGCGGUGAAAUGGCGCAGAUAGUCGGGAGGAACACCUAUGGGCGAAGGCAGCUCGCUGGGACGUUACUGACGCUGGAGAACGCGAAAGCGUGGGGAGCAAACAGG